UACGUAGGGGGCAAGCGUUGUCCGGAAUCAUUGGGCGUAAAGAGCUCGUAGGCGGUUCAGUAAGUCGGGUGUGAAAGCUCCGAGCUCAACUCGGAGAGGCCACUCGAUACUGCUGUGACUAGAAUCCAGUAGGGGAGUGUGGAAUUCCUGGUGUAGCGGUGAAAUGCGCAGAUAUCAGGAGGAACACCAGCGGCGAAGGCGGCACUCUGGGCUGGUAUUGACGCUGAGGAGCGAAAGUGUGGGUAGCAAA
rnacentral:rRNA from 1 species